rnacentral:rRNA from 1 species
GGUGCAUUGCUGGGUAGCCAACGUCUGGCAACGAUAACCGCUGAAAGCAUCUAAGUGGGAAACGUGCCCCAAGACUAGGUCCCCCACUGAGUAAAUCAGGUAAGACUGCCGGAAGACUACCGGUUUAUAGGCGGGAGGUGUAAGCACAGUAAUGUGUUCAGCUGACCCGUUACUAACAGUCGAGGGCUUGUACGU